CGCCCGUACUCAUCCCUGCCCUGGACACAGCUGGAGAUGAGCAACAUCAGGCGAUCUGGCCAUGGCAGGUUCACAAACUGGUUCCACCAGCGAUUCACCACCAAGGUAUAGAUUACUGAACAAAAAAGAGUGAUUAAUCUGAGAAAAACUGAAGCUUAUUUUCUUCUUGCUUCCAAUAAAAAGCAGAGAUCUAAUUAGAGAACAUGUUUACAGCAUAGAAGAGAAAGUGAGUGAGAGAGAUUUGAGUUAAGCCAACUAUAAAAACAUAUUAAGCUUACGCUGUGUCCACUGACCUGCUAUUUUGAUUCAGCAAUCCAAGCCCGAAGGCAAAUCCUGGACCCUUCCUCUUUCUUGGACGUCCUAAACCAAGUCCCCUUCGGUUCUGCAAUAAUCACCUUGCGCUUCCCUUAACCCGAAGCAAGGGGUUGCUGGUGCUGAGGACUAAGAGCAGUGGACUGACAAGAACAGGGGUUAAAAUGUCUUUCCACUUCUGGAAGUCUGUUUUUGCCAAGUACUCUGUCCUGUCAGUUACACAGGGAACAAACGCAAGCAGCAGCAGCAGCAGCAGCUGCUGAUCUUGCUCUUUUCUGGUCUAUAAUUAUAACGCCACUUGCCAUCAGAAGGACCUUUCAUUUGAAUGAAGAAUCUUGCAAUGGUUUUGGUUGGCACAUACAGGGUUUUUUGCAUGUUAUUUCCUCCAAGAUGGGAUGGACGAGAAGGGAGCAUUUUGUUCUGAGAUUUAUCUUGAAAAGUGAUAUGUCUCUAACACGGUACUGUGAAGAUACAUAAAUGAAUAGCAUGAUUAACUACAUCUAAAUAGGAAGACCAGAGACAACCCCACCAAACCCGAAAAUGUGCCCCAGCUGCACCUUGGUUCCAUCCUGGAGCACAGCAUUUGCUGCAUUUCUGCUUUGCUGUUUUGAUUUGGGAAAUCAGGUCUCUGGGGCAUGCUGUAGAAAUCACUCAUCCCUCAAAACAGGCAGAGUUCCUGCUACCAAAAGUCUCAGCGGACCUAUUCACAAUUGUAUAUUUCACCACGUGAAAAACCCUUCUGCAACUGGAGGUUUUACAUAGGAUUUCUUUCCCUCUUCCCCUUCGUAAAAUGAGAUUAACUCUGUCUUUUAUGACCCAUGGCAUUAAGAAUGAACUGUAAAAGGUGAUAGCCUGUGAAAACCCAGGAGAUAUCAUGUAAUGUUGUCAUAAACUUCAGCAGAGAAUGAAAUAAUAUGACUGUGAAGUAAAUAAAAAAAUGCAGGGGGAGAGAAUAAGCAAGAUUUAUAGAUUUAAUUCAUUUUAUGAUGAAAGGUUUUCCCCUCUGCCUUAGUCCCAUUAGCUAUUCGAAGCCAUUUAUUUAAUUAAAGCUCUCCCAGAAAGAAUGGAAGUUUCUGCCAUUGUUUGCCCUUCUUCUUGUUGUUAAUAGCCAGAGAAAGACACUUUGAUGUCAAAGCAGGCGAGAUAUUAGACUGUGGCAUGUGUGUGUCAGGCAGUGGCCUGUGGCGAAAGAUGACAAAUCAUUUUAGCAUUCAGUGACUUGGCAUGAAGAAACAUACUGCCUGAUCCUAUUACAGAGACUGCCUUGUGCAAGGAAAAUUCUUAACAACAGGGAUAUUUUAAGGUCACUGGUAAAAAUAAUUACUUAGACCUAAAACAUUUUUCUUUGCUGAGCAUAAUCGUUUGCUGGUCUCACUGAGCAGUAAAUAAUAGCACCUCUGUGUGUCAGUGGGUAUCAGGUGGUUUUCCUGGCGGCUCUUCAGUAUUCCUGCAGAUUGGAGUGGCUGACAUUGCUCUACUGGCUCUGAGCUAUUUUGCAGAAGACAUGAGAUUUAGAGCUCCUAUGUUUUCAGAGGCAGAAAUAAACACAGGUUUCCACCUGUGUAGCUCCUUCGGGACUGGUUCUGUAGGAAGUAUUCCUUCUUUUAUCUCUAAGUGUCCCUAUUUCCUUGUUGGGUAUUUCCAAAGAUAAGCAAUGCUUUUACCUCUCUUCCUCUGUUUCCCUCUAGGGAAAUGUGGUUUCAUCUACAAAAAUAGUUUUCAGAAG